rnacentral:RNase_P_RNA from 1 species
UGGGUCGGCAAGACGGUCGCGUCACGGGGUUUCGGCCCCGUGCCGAGGAACGUCCGGGCUCCGUAGAGCAGGACGGUGGGUAACGCCCACCCGGGGCAACCCGCGAGACAGUGCCACAGAAAACAGACCGCCUCGGGCUUCGGCCCGCGGUAAGGGUGAAACGGUGGUGUAAGAGACCACCAGGGAUCAGGGUGACCUGAUCUGCUCGGUAAACCUCGUCCGGAGCAAGGUCAGACAGAGAACGAUGCGGCUGCUCGUCGCGUUCUCGGGUAGACCGCUAGAGGGCUGCGGCAACGUAGUCCCGAGAUAGAUGGCCGUCCAGCGCCGCACCUCGGUGCGGCGGGGACAGAACCCGGCGUAAUAGCCGGCCCAUUCG